AAUAUUAUUGUUGCCUUCUAACUUAUGAUUGGAUCAUUUUCUGUCAGGUACUAUCACCUAGUGGCUCAGAAAUUUGCAAUCUCCAUUGCACUUUGAAGCUUUAAGAAAAGAACAAAUGUCUAAGAAGAGCCAACAUACCCUUGCUGGUCCAUCAACCCAAGAUGAGAAGAAGAGGAAGGCCAUUUGGAAUGAAAAAUUGAUAGAGGAGUUUAUCGAUAUAUGUAUUGGUGAAGUUGAAGCUGGUAAUCGCCCAGGAACACAUUUCAAUAGGUUAGGGUGGGCCAAUAUAAUUAAGAAAUUCAAUGAGAAGACUGGAAAUCAAUAUGACUACAAAAAAUUUAAAAAUAAGUGGGAUAACCUGAAAGCAAAUUGGAGCAUUUGGAUGAAAUUGGUGG